UACGUAGGGUGCAAGCGUUAAUCGGAAUUAUUGGGCGUAAAGAGCUUGUAGGCGGUUUGUCGCGUCUGCUGUGAAAUUUCGGGGCUCAACCCCGAACUUGCAGUGGGUACGGGCAGACUAGAGUGUGGUAGGGGAGACUGGAAUUCCUGGUGUAGCGGUGAAAUGCGCAGAUAUCAGGAGGAACACCGAUGGCGAAGGCGGCCAUCUGGACCGCAACUGACGCUGAGGCGCGAAAGCGUGGGGAGCAAACAGG
rnacentral:rRNA from 1 species